UAAAAGAGCUUCUGAUCAGUAGUAGCUGACCACUAAGGUCUAUAUAAAAGAGACUUCAGAUACAGUAUUAGUGGACCACUAAGGUCUAUGUAAAAGAGACUUCAGAUACAGUAUUAGUGGACCAAGGUCUAUAUUAAAGUAUCCAAAGAGCACCAUGCCAUGGGACCUUUAAUAUUGCGAGAUUGGCCAUGGCCCUGGCGGAGGUCUUCGGUCUCGGUAUGUCAGAAUAGAACAGAACAGGCCAUCUCGAGAUGAUCGUAACAGAAUUUCUGGGUUACAAUGACUGCAAGAAAAACACUUUGUCACGUAGAGAUGAUGACAUACUUAAGUCACAAUCUGAAGGGACAAAUCCUUUCAAUUAAAUAAGAUUAAAAGGCUGAGCUGCUGGGGGUGGGUGCUGAGAGUUUCCAUGUCCAUACAUUUAAAGAGCAAGUUUUGGGGCCAACAAGCAGCACAAAGUUUGGGUUAUACUUUUUAACGUCUUUGUGCUAUUUUCGGCCCCUGUGUUGGCUGCAGGCUUCCACUGAGCUAUACAGUACGUGCUGUUGUAUGUACUGUGGUUCUCCGAACCUCUGAGAACUCCAGACAGGCAACACUCAGGCUGGUUUUGAAGAACUGUCCCUUUAAAACCUCUGAUAAACAAGUUUAGAAGUCAAAGAAAAAUACGAGACGAGGUGUGACUUUCACAGUGACGGGGUUAUUUUUAAGAUGCACAAAUAAAGUUUAAAAAAAAAUUAAAGACUAGCAGGUUUAGCAAAUUGUAACGUGUCUGUCAUUCUUGAUGCGCCCAGAAACAAACAAAACCGUAUCUUGUAUUCUCUUAAGGCCUCCUAGGAACAGGCUGUGGUUUUCAUCUACAAACUAGAAGAAGAUGAUGCAUGAUCAACAGCCUACUGAAACUCCUCCCCACAGGGAGGGAAGAUGCCACAU